ensembl:lncRNA
GCAAUAAAAAUGAGGGGAUAUGAUUCUGUUGUUAUUGCCCAUGACAUAAUUAUUCAGAUAGGUGCACAAUGAGCCCCAAGUUCGAUGACCCCCAGCAUCUAGAACCCCAAUGGUUUUGUUUCAGACCUCUUUUGAAGUCCCAGCAACAGCACAACCUUAGGCCUUUCUGGAAUAAUCAACUUCAGAUCCAGGAGCUCAAAGUGAGAAGAGAAAUGGGAGAUCACUCAGAGACUGACAAGUGCAUAGAAACACAAAAACUCCAGGAAGGGAGUCACAUCUUGAAAAUGGCGUGGAACCCAAACUCCCAGGGAUUGGCAUUGGUUCUACUUUCUUCAGCCCCAACAGGGCAAAGGACUUUCGUCUGCUAAAAUCGUUUCCUUCCUUCUUCUUUCUUCAUUGUCUUUCUCCUUGCUCUCCAAACGAGCUGUCUGCAUUGAACUGGCAAAUAGCCACAGGCUAUGUCUCAUUGGGAGUAAGAAGCCACAGCAGUCCACCCCAUUCGCAGCUUUGUGAUUCAUAGCAGAGUUCAUUCACAGCUGCUCAGACCCUUGAUACAAGGAUUAGCACUAUAGCUGUUUAAAAUUCCUAAGCAGAGGAGUUUUUGUGGUGCUUCUAAGCAGCCUGCCAUCAGCCAUGCCCUUGCAAUGAGGCUGACAGUUUCGUGUGCCCAGGAACAGUUGGGCAUCUCCACGCUCGGAAGACUGGCCCAACCAGUCCCACUGCACUUUUGAGGACAGUGGCAAAGCCUGGAAUUGGUGACGUUAUUUAAUAUUUUGGUUAGUCACUAAGUAAAGUCUUUGCCUAGAAACCUUGAUUUCCUAUACAGCAGGGUAGACAAGGUCCAACAGAAAAUUUUCCUGAAAUAUUUCACUGAAACAAGCCAGUUCCACAAUGAGGAAGUUACCAUACUAAGCAAUAUAUGCCAGUUUGAUCCUUUUGUGAAAUCGAGUUUCAUCCACUGUUAACUCUAGCUGAUUGACAGACAGACAUGUGUCCCACACACUAGCUCUCCCUUGCAAUUUGGGCAGGUUACAUAAAAAAAAAACCUUAUGGUUAUUAUUCAGUUGACUCAGACUUCCUGUGGUUUUGAACAUUUUGAAGGACAGCAUAGAAUUUACAAAUCAGAGGGACUUUUAGUCUUUUCUAUCACAUGCCUGGUACUGGAUUUGCAAACUGCUAAAUAAACACACAGCCUCUCAAGUUAGCUUCUAGGCAAUGGUAACAAUUUGUACUUUCACUGUAACACUGUAUAUGCAUGGCUUUUCAAGAGGUUUGCUAACUAGUUUGAAAUGUUCUUCUUUUCCAUUUGGGAUCCCUUUUAUUUCUUUUUCUUGCCUGAUUGCUCCGGCUGGGACUUCUAACACAAGGUUAAAUCAGAGUGGCGAAAGUGGGCAUCCUUGUGUUGUUCCUGUUCUUAGAGGGAUAGCUUUCAGUUUUUCACCUUUGAGGAUGAUGUUAGCUGUGGGUUGCUCUACACAGAAAUUGAAAUAUAAUGUUAUACACCUGAAAUUUAUAUGAUGUUAUAAACCAAUGUUACCUCAAUAAAAAUAAAUAGAUAAGUAAAAUAAAGCACAUUUCACAAAUAAAAAAAGAAACGUUCUAUGGAGGAAACCAGAAAUGGACUUGAAAGUCAGUUAGUUAUUUUCUCUUUUAAAUUUUAAAUAAAAAGUGGUGUGAUUGCUUGGUGAUUGCAAAUACAAUUGACAUGGCUGCUUGUCCACCUAACAGGCUUUUUUUUCUUAAAAACUGCCACUUGUCACUUUGAAUAAUUAAAUUGAAUACAAAUGUUUCUCAAUGAUUGAGAAUGUAGGAAUCAUGUCUCUCUUUUUAGGCAGGAAACUGAAUCCACAAAGUCCAUAGUCUGAAGACGCUCUCCUACUUUAGGGUUAAGUGAAACACACACAUUUUGCUUUUUAAUAGCACGGUACAACUGGCAAGUGAAGGAGGAGGUUGUGAAGUUCAAAUCAGGACAUGUUUUCACUUGCUAGCAGCUACAGUAAAGCUCGGAGGGGAAAAAGAAUGAAAUAAAAGAUUUUUUUAAAAAAAGCUGGAGUUUUGUGUUUGUAAAGUGGACUACUGAGCAUUGUAGAUAAAUUUAUUAACUUCCUGGAUAACAUUUGUGCUAAGAUUCGGUCCUACGGUCCUGGACAACAUGCAGAUGUUUUUGUGCUGAAGUCUUUCUAGUUUUCUUCUUCGUUUUGUUUUUAACAGGGAGUAAAAAGAUGGCAUGGGUGAUUUCUAAAGAUUUCCUUAAUUAAAGCUGGUUUGAUUCCUCACUUAAAUGAAACAAGAUGGUUGAAGAUAAAACAAGCUUACUUAUCAGUAGACACUGAAGAAUCAAUCUUUUGCUCGUCUAUUCAGCUCAAAUUCCAUGAUCAUAGUCUUUUACAAAGCAAAGUAGGGCAUAAACCAUUUACCAUUGAUGCCAUUAGCAAGCAUUUAUGCAGAAUGCACAGGCCACCAUCCAUUCUAUCAACUCAGGUCCAUAGAAUGACUUCCAUUUCUGUAGGUCAAUUUUACCAUUAGAGCAAAAGGUCCUGGCCCACAGUAUGUCCAAUCACGUAUUCGGCAGAAGAGUUACACCUGCUGUGGCUGUGUGGGAUGGGUUUCCCACAGAGAUUCAGACAUGACCAUAUGAUGGGGAAAGCAGUCACUGUACAGCACAAGGGAAGAAUUUAGCAAUGUCACUUAAUACAUACCUUUAUCCCGUGACUUAUAAAACAAAUUUCUUAAUCCUUACUUGCAUGUAAAAUUCUUCUUGAAUUUUUACUUUAUUGUAAGAUAUUCCAAUAGACUCCCUUGGAGUCCUUCCAGAAUAUUCCAUGGGCAAUUUUCACUGUGGAUUUCAAACAUCAGCCAAAGCUACUGAAAAAUGUAGCCCUGGGUUAUUUUGUUGUUGUUGUUUCUAAGAUGCUAUGUAAUGGCUUCAAAUGUUCAAGACAUGAUAGAGUGAAAAAAAAUACUUGUUUUUAACUUUGGUUUUCCCAUCUGAAAUACUAACAUGGCUGUGUUUUCUUCUUAAUUCCAAGCAGCAGUGAACCUAAUUUAUGAACUUUUUCUCAAUAAAAAAUCAACAAAUGGAAGGUUUAACAUGGCACUAAGGAGUCUUCAGGAUUACCAGGUAUACAGCGAUGGAUUUAUAGAGGCCAGUGGGCUGAUAACUAUAUUUUAGGUCUAGGAAACAUCUGUUCAGAGUAAUUAGUUUAUGGUUUUUAUACCAAAUAGAAGGGAAAAAAACACCACAUUGAUCUGAGACUUUGGUGGGGUUUUUUUUAACCAAAAGUAAUGCAAAUCCCAUUCUAGUAGACUUAUAUACUUCAUUGAUAGGUUCUACUAAAAUCAAGGGGAUACUGAAAUUGCCACAUGAGGAAAUGAUAAAGUAACAGAGAACCAGGAGUUUUCAAUGGAAAAUUCCUAAGCAAUAUGCUAUGGGGGGAGAAAGGCGAAUUAAAUAUAACACUCAAAUAAUCCAUAAAAGAAAGUUUUUCUCCAUGUAAGUCUACAGAUAAUAUGGGCUUCCUCAACAAACUUGACCCACCAAUCUAAAAUAUCCUGGAAAUAUUCAGAAUUAGACAUGUCACAGAUAGUCCUACGGAUAUGAAAAAGUUUUGCACAAACAUGCAACAACCUUGGUAACAAAUUCAUCUUCUUUUUUUAAAACCUCAGUCUUUUAGACUCGUUCUAAAUAAUUACAUGAAGCAAGGAAUUGGCUGUUAUCCAGUGAAUUUGGACUGUGGACACUGACCAAAUUGUUUGACAUUUUACCCCAUCCCUUCUAUUUUCAGUCCACUUUUUCCCUCCACGAUGACUUUCUGGUUAAGUAUUAUCUGGUUUUGGCCGUCUCACUGCCCACUUCAGAUAAUUGCUCAACUCUCCACUUGGCUUCUUGCUGGAUAGGCUUGACCUAA